UACGAAGGGGACUAGCGUUGUUCGGAAUCACUGGGCGUAAAGCGCACGUAGGCGGAUAUUUAAGUCAGGGGUGAAAUCCCGGGGCUCAACCUCGGAACUGCCUUUGAUACUGGGUAUCUUGAGUAUGGAAGAGGUAAGUGGAAUUGCGAGUGUAGAGGUGAAAUUCGUAGAUAUUCGCAGGAACACCGAGUGGCAGGAGGGCGCU
rnacentral:rRNA from 1 species